rnacentral:rRNA from 1 species
GAUGAACGCUGGCGGCGUGCCUAAUACAUGCAAGUCGAGCGAACAGACGAGGAGCUUGCUCCUCUGACGUUAGCGGCUGACGGGUGAGUAACACGUGGAUAACCUACCUAUAAGACUGGGAUAACUUCGGGAAACCGGAGCUAAUACCGGAUAAUAUAUUGAACCGCAUGGUUCAAUAGUUAAAGACGGUUUUGCUGUCACUUUUAGAUGAUUCCGCGCCGCAUUAGCUAGUUGGUAAGGUAACGGCUUACCAAGGCAACGAUGCGUAGCCGACCUGAGAGGGUGAUCGGCCACACUGGAACUGAGACACGGUCCAGACUCCUACGGGAGGCAGCAGUAGGGAAUCUUCCGCAAUGGGCGAAAGCCUGACGGAGCAACGCCGCGUGAGUGAUGAAGGUCUUCGGAUCGUAAAACUCUGUUAUUAGGGAAGAACAAAUGUGUAAGUAACUAUGCACGUCUUGACGGUACCUAAUCAGAAAGCCACGGCUAACUACGUG